AAGAAAUUAGUUUAUUUAUAGAAUUUGUAAUUGUAAAUUAUAAGGAUAUUUUCUUG
rnacentral:tRNA from 1 species